rnacentral:rRNA from 1 species
AUUGAACGCUGGCGGCAGGCCUAACACAUGCAAGUCGAGCGGAGCGGCGGACGGGGGAGUAAUGCCUAGGAAUCUGCCUGGUAGCGGGGGAUAACGUCCGGAAACGGGCGCUAAUACCGAAUACUAUCAGAUGGGACUAGGUCGGAUUAGCUAGUUGGGGGGGUGAAGGCCUACCAGGGGGACGAUCCGGAACUGGUCUGGGAGGAUGAUCAGUCACACUGGAACUGAAACACGGUCCAGGCGCCUUCGGGAGGGAGCAGUGGGGAAGAUUGGACAAUGGGCGAAAGCCUGAUCCAGCCAUGCCGCGUGUGUGAAGAAGGUCUUCGGAUUGUAAAGCACUUUUAGUUGGGAGGCGUUACCAACAGAAUAAGCACCGGCUAACUUCGUGCCAGCAGCCGCGGUAAUAC